AUUGGGGGGGCUGCUUUCAAUGCAAGUCGAACGGCAGCGCGGGGGCAACCCUGGCGGCGAGUGGCGAACGGGUGAGUAAUGUAUCGGAACGUAUCCUGUAAUGGGGGAUAACCAGUCGAAAGAUUGGGUAAUACCGCAUACGCACGAGAGUGGAAAGUGGAGGAUCGCAAGACUUCACGUUAUAGGAGCGGCCGAUAUCUGAUUAGCUAGUUGGUGGGGUAAAGGCCUACCAAGGCGACGAUCAGUAGCAGGUCUGAGAGGAUGAUCUGCCACACUGGGACUGAGACACGGCCCAGACUCCUACGGGAGGCAGCAGUGGGGAAUUUUGGACAAUGGGCGAAAGCCUGAUCCAGCCAUGCCGCGUGCAGGAAGAAGGCCUUCGGGUUGUAAACUGCUUUAGUCCGGGAAAAAGGGGUGCGGGAUUAAUACUCUCGUGCUUUGAUGGUACUGGAAGAAUAAGCACCGGCUAACUACGUGCCAGCAGCCGCGGUAAUACGUAGGGUGCGAGCGUUGAUCGGAAUUACUGGGCGUAAAGCGUGCGCAGGCGGUCUUGUAAGACAGUCGUGAAAUCCCUGGGCUUAACCUAGGAACUGCGAUUGUGACUGCAAGGCUAGAGUGUGUCAGAGGGGGGUGGAAUUCCACGUGUAGCAGUGAAAUGCGUAGAGAUGUGGAGGAACACCGAUGGCGAAGGCAGCCCCCUGGGAUAACACUGACGCUCAUGCACGAAAGCGUGGGGAGCAAACAGGAUUAGAUACCCUGGUAGUCCACGCCCUAAACGAUGUCGACUGGUUGUUGGGUGGGUAACCACUUAGUAACGAAGCUAACGCGUGAAGUCGACCGCCUGGGGAGUACGGUCGCAAGAUUAAAACUCAAAGGAA
rnacentral:rRNA from 1 species